rnacentral:rRNA from 1 species
ACACGGAGGGUGCAAGCGUUAUUCGGAUUUAUUGGGUUUAAAGGGUGCGUAGGCGGCUCUUUAAGUCAGUGGUGAAAGCCUGGCGCUUAACGCCAGAAAUGCCAUUGAUACUGGAGAGCUUGAGUCAAGAAGAGGUAAGCAGAAUUCAUGGUGUAGCGGUGAAAUGCUUAGAUACCAUGAGGAAUUCCAAUAGCGAAGGCAGCUUACUGGUCUUUGACUGACGCUGAGGCACGAAAGCGUGGGGAGCGAACAGGAUUAGAAACCCCAGUAGUCC